rnacentral:rRNA from 1 species
UGGGGAAUAUUGGACAAUGGGCGCAAGCCUGAUCCAGCAAUACCGCGUGUGUGAAGAAGGCCUGAGGGUUGUAAAGCACUUUUAAUCGGGAGGAACACCUGUCAGCUAAUACCUCGCAGUAUGACAUUACCGAUAGAAAAAGCACCGGCUAACUCCGUGCCAGCAGCCGCGGUAAUACGGAGGGUGCAAGCGUUAAUCGGAAUUACUGGGCGUAAAGCGUGCGUAGGCGGUUAUUUAAGUCAGAUGUGAAAGCCCCGGGCUUAACCUGGGAACUGCAUUUGAUACUGGGUAACUAGAGUUUAGUAGAGGAAAGUGGAAUUUCAGGUGUAGCGGUGAAAUGCGUAGAGAUCUGAAGGAACACCAGUGGCGAAGGCGACUUUCUGGACUAAAACCGACGCUGAGGUACGAAAGCGUGGGUAGCAAACAGGAUUAGAUACCCUGGUAGUCCACGCCGUAAACGAUGUCAACUAGCCGUUGGUCUUAUUCGUAAGAUUAGUGGCGCAGCUAAC